UACGUAGGCAGCAAGCGUUGUUCGGAGUUACUGGGCGUAAAGGGUGUGUAGGCGGUUGUUUAAGUUUGGUGUGAAAUCUCCCCGGCUCAACUGGGAGGGUGCGCCGAAUACUGAAUGACUAGAGUGCGGGAGAGGAAAGUGGAAUUCCUGGUGUAGCGGUGAAAUGCGUAGAUAUCAGGAGGAACACCGGUGGUGUAGACGGCUUUCUGGACCGUAACUGACGCUGAGACACGAAAGCGUGGGUAGCAAACAGG
rnacentral:rRNA from 1 species